CACGGGGGGAGCAAGCGUUGUUCGGAAUCACUGGGCGUAAAGGGCGUGUAGGCGGUCAGGUAAGUGAGAUGGGAAAUGCCCCGGCUCACCCGGGGACCGGCAUCUCAUACUGCUUGGCUUGAGUACGGGAGAGGAUGUGGGAAUUCCUGGUGUAGCGGUGAAAUGCGUAGAUAUCAGGAGGAACACCGGUGGCGAAGGCGCUGCUCUGGGCCGGUACUGACGCUGAGGAGCGAAAGCGUGGGUAGCAAACAGG
rnacentral:rRNA from 1 species